GACUCUGCAGCUCUGGAGAGGAGCCCAGCGCUGGGUGGCCAGGUGUUCCCAUUCUGUGAUCAGGACUGAGCACAGAAAGCUCACUAUGAAGUUUGGCCUGAGCUGGGUUUGCCUGUUUGCAAUUUUGAAAGGUGUCCAGUCUGACGUGCAGCUGGUGGAGUCCGGGGGAGGCUUGGUGCCACCUGGAGGGACCCUGAAACUCUCCUGUUUGGCUUCGGGAUUCACCUUCAGUGACUAUGCCAUGCACUGGGUCCGCCAGGCUCCAGGGAAGGGGCUGGAGUGGAUCUCAGCCAUCAGUAGCAGUAGUGGUACCAUACGCUACGCAGACUCCGUAAAGGGCCGAUUCACCAUCUCCAGAGACAACAACAAGAACACGCUGUAUCUGCAAAUGAGCAGCCUGAGAACCGAGGACACGGCCCUGUAUUACUGUGCAAAAGACACAGUGAGCAGACCUCAGUGCGAGCUCAGACAAAAACCUCCCUGCAGGGGGGCGCGAGCCCAGCAGGGGCCGCUGUGA